GCUGUUGGGUGAUGAGGCUCUGGAAUGAGCCCUGGGCAUAGUGCCCGAGUCGCUGCAGAAACAUCCCGUGCUGCCUUCCUUCUGAGAGCAUC
ensembl:snoRNA SNORD83B small nucleolar RNA U83B